GACGGAGGGUGCUAGCGUUGUUCGGAAUGACUGGGCGUAAAGGGCGCGUAGGCGGCUCGUGAAGUCGGGUGUGAAAGCCCGGGGCUCAACCCCGGAACGGCAUCCGAUACUGGCGGGCUUGAGACCGGGAGAGGAGGGUGGAAUACCCAGUGUAGAGGUGAAAUUCGUAGAUAUUGGGUGGAACACCGGUGGCGAAGGCGGCAUCCUGGACCAUUACUGACACUGAAUAGCGAAAGCCAGGGGAGCAAACGGG
rnacentral:rRNA from 1 species